rnacentral:tRNA from 1 species
UGGAUCACCUCCUAACAGGGAGACAACAAAAUGUUAAAUAUUAAUUUUGUCACCUUAGGUCGAUCGGUAUCUCACAUUCUUAAUUUAUUGAGGAUUUUAUUUCCUAAGUUUUUUUCUAGGUCACACCCAUUUUUUUUCCUGGGCCAUUAGCUCAGGUGGUUAGAGCGCACCCCUGAUAAGGGUGAGGUCCCUGGUUCAAGUCCAGGAUGGCCCAUUCGGUGUUGGGGGUUUAGCUCAGUUGGUAGAGCGCCUGCUUUGCAAGCAGGAUGUCAGGAGUUCGAGUCUCCUAACCUCCACUGACCGAACUUGAUUCCCAUCUCCAAUUCUUUUGGAGUUGAGCUCGAUUGGAGUGUGAUUUAGAUGUGUCCGCUGGAUGACCCCAGCUUCCUGUCAUUCCAAGUUUUAGGUUGAUGCCUUGAAUUUGGUUGAUAAGAUGCUGGGCUCGGAUCAAAUGAUCAAGCAAUUGAUGAUUUGAUUUGAAGCUCUAGCAGAACCUUGACAACUGCAUAGGUGAGUCUGGAAAAAACAAAGCAUCUUACAGAUGCAUUGUUUUGAAUCUGAUCUUCCGAAAGGGAGAUUGGAUCUAGAACAAUGAAAAUUCUUUUGAGCAAGAGCCGAGACUCUUGAACGUUCUUUGAUUGGUGUCGAGCCAAUCAGAGUUUGAUCUUGUUUUUAGCAAUAAAAACUUGAGAAUCUGCUUUCAACGGCGGUAAGCGUUUAGGAGGUUAAUUGGUCAAGCUACAAAGGGCUCACGGCGGAUACCUUGGCACACAGAGGCGAUGAAGG